rnacentral:lncRNA from 1 species
GUGGGGGGCGACGCAGGGAACGACCAGGAAGGGAAAAACCCUUCUUCUUGCCCUAGCUCCUCAAACCACAAGCAAUUGAAUGAGUUUCUGGCCCUAAUUCGAAUGCAUGUCAGCGAUUUCUCAACUAUCUAAGAGUUCCCUACAUAGGGAAUCAUGUCAAAAUGGUUGAGAGCAUGGAAGGCUAACGGGCUAAGAAGACUCAAGUAAAAUAAACGCAAAUACGGACGCACAAGGUAAGUGAAUUCCGGACUUACACUUUAGAUGUAAAAUGUAUUGUAGUAUGAUGAUUAUUGUGAAACAUGUGAGAAAGUAUGAGACAAUGGAAGUAAUAAGGUAAGUUUACGGUAAAUGAGUCGAAAGUAGUUAAGAAAUAGUUUCUAUUAAGUAUAGGUAAGAAGGAAUCAUACGUGAUGAUAUUAUGCAUAAAGGUGAAAUAAGUAGUUAUACGCGUAGGCAUGGGUAUAAUUGUAAGUAAGCAAUUGGGAUCCAUAGGAGAGAAUGACAAUGAACACAUAAGUAUGGAUAAUUAUGUGUAUACAAUUUACAUGUAUAGAUGGGUGUGUUUAGGAUUUAUAAGUAAUAUGUGUAGAAUGUAAAUUUGUAAGUACAUGUACGGAUAGAAAGGGUAUGUAUGCAUGAAUUGGAAUUUAGUUAUAUGUACAAUUGAAUGAGACUUGUUAUGUGUAUACAUGGAUAUGUUCGUAUGAAUGAAAUUUAAUGAUGCUAAUCGUUUUCCUAUUGAGAAUGAAAUAGAAAUGCAGGUAUACUUGUGACGGAAGUUGAAGGUAGACACCGAAAUCCAAUGCGGGUGGUUUAAAUGAUGGUUGUACAGAACCGUGAAUUCUCAUCACGAAGCGUAAGCGGUCGAAGAUCGAGUCAAGUCGUGGAUUGUACGUGUGGGUGCGUGGUCACGUAAUUUAUUAUAAGUAUGUCAGAUUGUAUAAAUUUAUAGAAAGCAUUAAUGUAUUUAAUGUAAAAGAGUGAUUUAAUGUAGUUCUAAGUAUGUUAGAAUGAAUAUAAUGAAAGAAAAUUUUAAGUUCGUAUUUCCGCUGCGACUUUUGGUUAAAACGUGUUAGGGCGUUACAUACGCCUAUAAGAAUCACGAGUGUGAAUACUACACAAAGUGUACAACAUAGGCACCGCCGACACCAGUUUUUCUUUUUUGGUGGUUUGGAGUACUGGAUCGGGAUGGUGCGCUGGAAAGUCCUUUGCAAUCAGAUCCUAAAGCUGAAGAAGUGGCAGGGUAUGUGCAUUGGCUGCUAUAGUCCAUAUACAUAGUUGCGUGAUACUCACACAUUGCAUCGGUGAAAGCCUAAAGCUUCUGUGCAUGGAUAUAAUGAAAUUUAAGCACCUGGUGCAAAGCAAAGUGAGGAGCUACAGCACCAGUGAGGCCCCUCAUUCUUCUUAUCUUUGGUUAGGAGAAUUUGCCACCUUAUUUCUCUAUCUUUAUUUCCACAACUUAUAAAUUUAGUUUCGUGUUAUGUUUGAAUGAUUAAUAAUUGUUUACUUUUGGUAACUGAUUUUUUCCAUUCGGUUUUGGUUUCACAUACAUCUAAAAUCAGCUCAAUAAUUCGAGCGUGUUGUGCUCGCUUUUUUUGGUUUUGCCUGUUUGAACCGCCUUAUGAGCACCCUUAAUUGUAUAAUCAUUUGAGACUCCAACAGUUCAUAUUUCGCAAAUCGUAUUUACAGUGCAAACGAACACGUAAAAAAUCGCGUCUUAAAGCGAGGGUGUUUACCACUUGCAAAUGUACAUGUACAAAACUCGACAUUAUUGUAAAGUGUUUUCGCUCAAAUACCGGCAUGAAGCUUCUGCCGCAACGCAAAGAAACUGAGUACAUUGGGAUUGUAAAAUGGCGAUGUCUAGCAUCGCGGGGGAUUCCUACUAUUACUAACUAUUAAAAACAACCAAAUAUAAUUAGUGUUUAAGGAAAAUCAGGUUAGAUUGUGGUAUAAAAAGCCUCGGUGACACCCGCCGCAUCGCGCGGGCCAACCUACUAGUUUAUAUAAAUUAUCUAAAUAAUUUAUUUAUUUAACUUAUGACUAAGGCGUUCACGUAAUACAUACCUAGGUUGACCGCUCUCGUGCGUUCUAUUGGAUUCCCAAUCCUACUCGUCCGUUACUUUGGAAUUCUCCAUCUUUUCCUCGCGCGUUAUUUCAAGAAAUCGCAACGCAACCAAUGUUGAUAGUCAAGAUGAUGAAGGAAUCAAGAUAGGAUGGACUAGAUACCUGUUAGGGGAGGAUUUUCUAGUAGCCUGUGAUCCUCAUGUGUUAUUCUUUUAGUGAUCCUUACUUCUGUGACAGAUAGUGAUCCUCAGAAGUGCUUCAGGAUCAGGAUCAUGGAUCACCCUAAGGAUCCUUAUACUAACGAUUGUUCACUUUGAAUUUUGUAUUGUUUUGCAGGAGUAACAAGUUGGACUUGGUCUUGGCAACGUUACUAAGGAAUAUUCCACGGUUAUUUCGCACGUGUUUGACUGAAAAUGGACGUUGUGGAGAACGUGGGAGCAAGGCACGAAUUGCGGACAGUUAGUUAGGCUAGUUAACUUCUAUUUUUAAAAAGGGGUAGCGAGCUAGUUUUAGAAACACUUGGCUAAUUUUGGCUACACACACUCGUACAACAGCACUCGUGAGCAUACAGCAAAACACUUAGCAAUUUUUACACAUUUCUGCACGAUACACCAUCGUGAUCCUUGUACCUAGCUCGCUAUUAUCCGAAGUUGUAAAGAAUUAUUGUUCAAUUUGAAGUUGGUGAUCGGUAGUU